ensembl:lncRNA
CUGCCUCUAUCAAGUUUAUGUCCCAUUAAGUGCUUCAGUGGCCAUAGGAUUACCAGCAGAGUGGUAUGUUGUUCAUUUAUUUUCCCUGGGACUUGGUCUCCACAUGUACAUGGCCCUCGUGAGCAUACACAUGACUUGGUUCCACCAAUAUAGCUUCAUUCAACCUUUAAGACAACAACAGGAAAUAAUUUCUUAUUGCCCAAAGAUUUCAGCUCACUCUGACCUUCAGAGCUCCUCAGUGCCUGCAUGCUCAGCACACUGUGUUCUGGGGGCAACGUAAAGGUGGAUCUUACGGUUACAUCCUGAUUAGUAUGUCCAAAUGGGGGCCCAAGCACUUCCUGCACUGCUGAGAAUAGCUCCAACAUGCACACAGUUUUAUUAUUACGUCUAUAUCUGUUGGUUUUUUUUUUUUUUUUUUUCAUUUCUCCCCACACACACCCUGGUUUUGGCUGCAACAGAAAAUAAUGGGUCUGUGGGUGGAUUCAAGAUGUCAGAUAGAGAGAACAAGCACCGCUGCUCACUUUGUAGUAAGGCAGGGAACGGUAUUAAAGCAGCAGAUAUCAAGGAGCAGGGCCGCAGCAGCAGUAGCUCAUCCAAAGCAAUAACAACGCAUGAAGGCAAGCCAUGGCAACUGAAGGAAGGCUGGAAUCUAGCAUACCCAUGGUCUUGUUCUUAUUAUUACAACACAGCGUGACUAAAAAUAUCAAACCAAACAAAAGAAAUUCCUGCAGGCAAGGGGUAAGAGAGGAGGCCGACCACUGCUGGAAAUGGAACUUAUUGUUCACCUAAGUAGUGCAGCGGGGAACAGAAAUCACAGAAGCAAAGGCCAAGAUCAACAGCAGGAGGAGCACUGGAAGUAACAACAAUGUUCCUGAACAAGGAGCACAGACUCCAGAAGGGCUGAGAACAGUCAGAAAAGGAGCUGCAAAACUUGCUGAUAGUUUGAAGGCAAGGAUGGGCUGACCGCAAAAGACUCACAUGUCUCAACUCAGAUAAAGUAUCAGGGAGGAUCUUUCAAAACAACUCCGUGUUGAUCUAAACUUACUUCAACUGAAGUCAACAAUCAAACUCCCUGUGAAAGAAGAAUCAGUGACUUUGAAAACGAUACUCACAAAGCCUUAUAGAAAAAUACUUCCAGUGUCUUUGAUCAUGUAAUUGAGAUUGGAGUUUAACAACAUUAAGAUUCGCAAGACUUCUUCUUGGACUUAAAUAUUGACUCCUACACUUAAUUACUGGCUAAAUAACUCCUAUGCUGCCUAAAGAACUGUACAGUUCACAGACUUCUUUUAUUUCAUCUCAACAACAGGACAAAUCAAACCAACCCUAUGUGGACUUCUUCACAUAACCAGAUGAGACAGCCCAGUUUGUAGCUCCUGAAUAUUUAAAUACUUUAAAUUGAGAAUUGGAAAAGGUACAGCUUAAGGUACAGUCAAGUUUUCAUAUUCAUACAUAAAAUGAACUGAUGAACUUUGGAAAAUCCAUACCCCCCAGCUUGUAUCAUCUUAGAUCCCAGAUUUUCUGCAUCUGACGUGAUUUGGCAUGGCUAAGUGCCAGUCCUUGGGAAAAACCACAAACUGCUUUGGAAAUGUUGCUGAUGAGGAAAGAAAUGUAACAUCACCAUGAAUUACCCUAAGAAACAUGAGUCUAAACUUGUAUUAUAGCUUGAUCUCAUCGGCUCACUUUAAACCUGAAACUCCAUUAAAAGACCUCCUCAAGGAAACUGUUCUUAAACCUAAAGCUAAAACCUGUUAAUUCAGAUACUGCUUUAAAGAUUCUCAUUGUAACUCAAAAAAAAAAAAAAAAAAAAAACCCAACAGAUUUCCAUUCAGUUUUGUUUCAAAACGUUCAAGUGUCCAUCUACAACAUAUCUGCCAUUGCGAGGCAAAAGAUGGCUGAGUGUCUCACCGUGCGCUUUUGCUAUCAGCAGUCCUCUCCUACCAACAGCCUCUGCACACUUUCAGGUUAUCUGCUCAUAAAACAGGUCUACAGAGGCAACAGUCAGACCUCCUUUUUAAGAAGUGGUGUUUCGCAGAAAUGGUCGUUCUGAAUGGACCUUGCUGAGAUGCAAAGUUGCACGGAGCUCAGGAUGGGACCAGGCAGGCUGAGGAAAUAUCCUGGACGGGGCUCCACCGUCAGUUACAGCGCUAUAAAUCAAGAUGAACGCCACCAAGUUUAGUGCAAUGAUUUGAGAUUUAAAUCAUUUCAACAGGAAUUGGGUUCACAUAGUGAAAUUCUCCCCUAGGCGUAAACACAGAUAAUGGAGCGGGGUGUGCAGGGUGAGACUACUGCAAACCACUGCCAAGAGGGAAAGGAGUUUAGAAGGUUUUUGAGACCUCCUAAAAGAUUAUGUCCGGUAUGAAAACUACUGAGCGCAUGUGUUUAUGCGUGAUCCCGCGUAGCUGUACACAGCCACACUCCUGUCUAACCCAGGGGCAAGAGCAGAGGCUGUUAACCUUCCCUUAGCCUCAUGCCUGCCUCGAGGUCACCCUGCGAGCACCUCACCCCCAGGAUUUGGUUCCUGG